CUUUGGGCUCCUCUUUAGUGGGCUGUGGCUUUUCGGUGUGAACACUUUCAAUUGUGUUACGAAAGGACUGACGAUCUUCAAGCCGGGGCUUCUUUUCGGGAAAGGAUGCAGAGGCCGCCUGCUCAAAGGAUUUCCUCUUCUGAUCCUUGGGUUCCUGAUCCACAGUUUCCUGAGGCAGGCUAGGAAUUCUGUCUGGAGAUGCAGAGGCACGUGCCAAGUUGUCUGGCUCAGCCUGGAUCCGAGAAGCCACAGACUCAACUGGGAAUUCGGGACCCUCCAGGUCGG
rnacentral:lncRNA from 1 species